GCAUAUCAAUAAGCGGAGGAAAAGAAACCAACAGGGAUUGCCCCAGUAACGGCGAGUGAAGCGGCAACAGCUCAAAUUUGAAAUCUGGCCCCUAGGGUCCGAGUUGUAAUUUGCAGAGGAUGCUUUUGGCGAGGUGCCUUCCGAGUUCCCUGGAACGGGACGCCAUAGAGGGUGAGAGCCCCGUCUGGUUGGAUACCGAGCCUCUGUAAAGCUCCUUCGACGAGUCGAGUAGUUUGGGAAUGCUGCUCUAAAUGGGAGGUAUAUGUCUUCUAAAGCUAAAUAUUGGCCAGAGACCGAUAGCGCACAAGUAGAGUGAUCGAAAGAUGAAAAGCACUUUGAAAAGAGGGUUAAAUAGUACGUGAAAUUGUUGAAAGGGAAGCGCUCAUGACCAGACUUGGGCCCGGUGAAUCAUCCAGCGUUCUCGCUGGUGCACUUUGCCGGGCUCAGGCCAGCAUCAGUUUGCUUCGGGGGAUAAAGGCUUUGGGAAUGUGGCUCCUUCGGGAGUGUUAUAGCCCAUUGCAUAAUACCCUGGGGCGGACUGAGGUUCGCGCAUUCGUGCAAGGAUGCUGGCGUAAUGGUCAUCAGCGACCCGUCUUGAAACACGGACCAAGGAGUCGUCUUCGUAUGCGAGUGUUCGGGUGUUAAACCCCUACGCGUAAUGAAAGUGAACGCAGGUGAGAGCUUCGGCGCAUCAUCGACCGAUCCUGAUGUUCUCGGAUGGAUUUGAGUAAGAGCAUACGGGGCCGGACCCGAAAGAAGGUGAACUAUGCCUGUAUAGGGUGAAGCCAGAGGAAACUCUGGUGGAGGCUCGCAGCGGUUCUGACGUGCAAAUCGAUCGUCAAAUAUGGGCAUGGGGGCGAAAGACUAAUCGAACCUUCUAGUAGCUGGUUUCCGCC
rnacentral:rRNA from 1 species